UGUGCUGUUACCAUUUGUAUAAAAUAUUUUUUAAAAUGUGGAUUAUUUCUGGAAUGACACAUAAGAAAGUAGAGAGAAAACUGAGCCUUGGAGAGGUUUAGGACGUUGCUAAGGACACACCACUGAAUCCUGAUUUGCUUAGCUCUCUACCCUCUUCUCAUGGAGUCAAGGGAAACUGGUUCAAUUUCUAGCUCCAGGGAUCAAUCCUAACUAGUCCUGCCUAAUCAGCAUAUGACAGUCCCUGGCCCUAUCAGGCUCCAAACAAGAACCUCCAUUCUGUGCUAGAGGGAAAUAAGGAAGAGGUAGGCUCAGCAUCUAUUGGCAGCCUCAGGAUAAAGCUGACCCCGUGGAUGACUUCGUCGAGAGCAUAGCAUAGUGAGGUCUGGUGAAAAUAAGAGGUUGCUGCGUGGCAGAAUCCAUCAACUCAGGGUAUACGUACUUCCAGAAAAUCAGGUCACGAAUGCAGUUAGACUACAUUGUGUAGUGUGAUAUAGAAGCAACGGUCCACCAGAUCCGAAUGAAAAAAGAGGAAAUGUUGAGAAUCCAAGAAUAUCAAUCUGACCAGCACGUUCCAGCAGGUCAACAGGCUCUGGGAUUUGGCAGCAAUCUUGUGUAUUCAGAGACUCAAAGAAUUUUCCGACCCCAUGAGAACCAUUUUUGCAAAGACUAGGAGACUUUGAGGUUAUCUUGUCUGAUAUACUUAGCCACAAAUGGCCUGAAGAAGCUUACAUUAAUGCACAUAACACACAUCUGAUUUUUGUCAUCUGACUACACAGCGUAAAUGCAUAUUUAUUGGCCCUACCAUUUCCCAGAUGAUCUCUCAUAACACCAGAGACCCAUUUUACAGAUAAGAAAACCGAGACUGAGGGAGGUCAAACAACAAUCUCAAAGUCACACAAUUCAUAUGCCACAUUUGGGAUAUGACCUCAGAGUCUCCGACUCCAAGUCCAAUUUUUUGUUUGUUUUCUGGCUGGUAAAGUAGAGCUAAUGACAUCUGCCUUGAUCACAUUCCAAGGUUGCUGUAAGGAUUACAUGAGACUGUAUAAAUAAAAUUCUUAUUUAGAUGGCAUUAA